GUAUGUGUGCAUGUGCAUGUAU
rnacentral:miRNA from 1 species